rnacentral:rRNA from 1 species
GGUUAAGCGACUAAGCGUACACGGUGGAUGCCCUGGCAGUCAGAGGCGAUGAAGGACGUGCUAAUCUGCGAUAAGCGUCGGUAAGGUGAUAUGAACCGUUAUAACCGGCGAUUUCCGAAUGGGGAAACCCAGUGUGUUUCGACACACUAUCAUUAACUGAAUCCAUAGGUUAAUGAGGCGAACCGGGGGAACUGAAACAUCUAAGUACCCCGAGGAAAAGAAAUCAACCGAGAUUCCCCCAGUAGCGGCGAGCGAACGGGGAGCAGCCCAGAGCCUGAAUCAGUGUGUGUGUUAGUGGAAGCGUCUGGAAAGGCGCGCGAUACAGGGUGACAG